rnacentral:piRNA from 1 species
UCACUCCAGUCUCGGGAAUAGCGCGC